GACGAACGCUGGCGGCGUGCCUAAUACAUGCAAGUUGAGCGCUGAAGGUUGGUACUUGUACCGACUGGAUGAGCAGCGAACGGGUGAGUAACGCGUGGGGAAUCUGCCUUUGAGCGGGGGACAACAUUUGGAAACGAAUGCUAAUACCGCAUAAAAACUUUAAACACAAGGUUUAAGUUUGAAAGAUGCAAUUGCAUCACUCAAAGAUGAUCCCGCGUUGUAUUAGCUAGUUGGUGAGGUAAAGGCUCACCAAGGCGAUGAUACAUAGCCGACCUGAGAGGGUGAUCGGCCACAUUGGGACUGAGACACGGCCCAAACUCCUACGGGAGGCAGCAGUAGGGAAUCUUCGGCAAUGGACGAAAGUCUGACCAAGCAACGCCGCGUGAGUGAAGAAGGUUUUCGGAUCGUAAAACUCUGUUGGUAGAGAAGAACGUUGGUGAGAGUGGAAAGCUCAUCAAGUGACGGUAACUACCCAGAAAGGGACGGCUAACUACGUGCCAGCCGCCGCAGUAA
rnacentral:rRNA from 1 species